GGGCCCGCACAAGCGGUGGAGCAUGUGGUUUAAUUCGAUGAUACGCGAGGAACCUUACCAGGGCUUAAAUGCAGAACGACAGAGGUGGAAACACCUCCUUCUUCGGACGGUCUGCAAGGUGCUGCAUGGUUGUCGUCAGCUCGUGCUGUGAAGUGUCGGGUUAAGUCCCAUAACGAGCGCAACCCCUAUUUCUAGUUGCCAGCGGUUCGGCCGGGGACUCUAGAGAAACUGCCAGCGUAAGCUGUGAGGAAGGUGGGGAUGACGUCAAAUCAUCACGGCCCUUACGUCCUGGGCUACACACGUGCUACAAUGGUAGGGACAGAGAGUUGCCAACCCGCGAGGGUGAGCUAAUCUUCAAAGCCGGUCUCAGUUCGGAUCGCAGUCUGCAACUCGACUGCGUGAAGCUGGAAUC
rnacentral:rRNA from 1 species